UGGCAGUUCGAGCGCGGGAAGCGAGCUGAUCCCUUCGGGGUGACGCUCGUGGAACGAGCGGCGGACGGGUGAGUAACACGUGGGCAACCUGCCUGUAAGAUCGGGAUAACUCCGGGAAACCGGGGCUAAUACCGGGUAAUACUUUCUUUCGCAUGAAGGAAAGUUGAAAGAUGGCUUCUCGCUAUCACUUACAGAUGGGCCCGCGGCGCAUUAGCUAGUUGGUGAGGUAACGGCUCACCAAGGCGACGAUGCGUAGCCGACCUGAGAGGGUGAUCGGCCACACUGGGACUGAGACACGGCCCAGACUCCUACGGGAGGCAGCAGUAGGGAAUCUUCCGCAAUGGACGAAAGUCUGACGGAGCAACGCCGCGUGAACGAUGAAGGUCUUCGGAUCGUAAAGUUCUGUUGUUAGGGAAGAACAAGUACCGUGCGAAUAGAGCGGUACCUUGACGGUACCUAACGAGGAAGCCCCGGCUAACUACGUGCCAGCAGCCGCGGUAAUACGUAGGGGGCAAGCGUUGUCCGGAAUUAUUGGGCGUAAAGCGCGCGCAGGCGGUUCCUUAAGUCUGAUGUGAAAGCCCACGGCUCAACCGUGGAGGGUCAUUGGAAACUGGGGAACUUGAGGACAGAAGAGGAGAGUGGAAUUCCACGUGUAGCGGUGAAAUGCGUAGAUAUGUGGAGGAACACCAGUGGCGAAGGCGACUCUCUGGUCUGUUUCUGACGCUGAGGUGCGAAAGCGUGGGUAGCAAACAGGAUUAGAUACCCUGGUAGUCCACGCCGUAAACGAUGAGUGCUAGGUGUUAGGGGGCUUCCACCCCUUAGUGCUGAAGUUAACGCAUUAAGCACUCCGCCUGGGGGAGUACGGCCGCAAGGCUGAAACUCAAAGGAAUUGACGGGGGCCGCACAAGCGGUGGAGCAUGUGGGUUUAAUUCGAAGCAACGCGAAGAACCUUACCAGGUCUUGACAUCCUUGGACUCC
rnacentral:rRNA from 1 species